rnacentral:tRNA from 14 species
GGAGGGGUGGGAGAGUGGUUAAAUCCGGCAGACUGUAAAUCUGCUCGCUUAGCGUACACUGGUUCGAAUCCAGUCCCCUCCACCA